rnacentral:rRNA from 1 species
AUUGAACGCUGGCGGCAGGCCUAACACAUGCAAGUCGAGCGGAGCGGCGGACGGGUGAGUAAUGCCUAGGAAUCUGCCUGGUAGUUGGGGAUAACGUCCGGAAACGGGCGCUAAUACCGCAUACUAUCAGAUGUGCCCAGAUGGGUUUAGCUAGUAGGUGGGGUAAUGGCUCACCUAGGCGACGAUCCCUAGAUGGGCUGAGAGGAUGACCAGCCAAACUGGAACUGAGACACGGUCCAGACGCCUACGGGAGGAAGCAGUGGGGAAUAUUGCACAAUGGGCGCAAGCCUGAUCCAGCCAUGCCGCGUGUGUGAAGAAGGUCUUCGGAUUUUAAAGCACUUUAAGUUGGGAGGCGUUACCAACAGAAUAAGCACCGGCUAACUUCGUGCCAGCAGCCGCGGUAAUUC